AUUGCUUCUCGGCCUUUUGACUAAGAGCAAGUUUAGUGCCUGUUUCCUUAUCCUUUUAAUAUCUGAUAUGCCCUGUUUUCAAGGGCAAUAUAUUAAACAGAUUUUUGCAACAGGAAGAUGGGAUAGGAGCUUGCUCCGUCCACUCCACUCAUCCAACUGGUAAUGCAGUGCUUCCAGGAAUGAGAAGAAGAA
rnacentral:snRNA from 1 species